UACAGAGGUGGCAAGCGUUGUUCGGAAUUACUGGGCGUAAAGGGCGCGUAGGCGGCCUUCUAAGUCAGACGUGAAAUCCCUCGGCUCCAACCGAGGAACUGCGUCCGAUACUGGCAGGCUGGAAUCCGGGAGAGGGAUGUGGAAUUCCAGGUGUAGCGGUGAAAUGCGUAGAUAUCUGGAGGAACACCGGUGGCGAAGGCGGCGAUCCUGGACCGGUAUUGACGCUGAGGCGCGAAAGCUAGGGGAGCAAACGGGG
rnacentral:rRNA from 1 species